CUGCGCCAAAGAAACUAUUGAGCUUGGGGGUUUCACUACCCAAAAAAAAAAAAAGAAAAAAAAAAACCUUCUUUUCUCACAGUAACAUGACAUGCACAAAAUAUUUGAUAUUUAAGAAUCAGAAAAACAGAACAAUUAGCUCUUUCACUUCAGCUGAGGGCUUUCCCCUUUGUCAUAGGAAAAGAAACAAUUUCAAAAUAUAUCCCCAUCGCCUAGCAUAAUCUUAAGCUAAUAGAAAUGAAACCUACCUCCUAUCACAUUUAAGUAAUUGCAUAAAUGAAAAUCUCUCAGCAUUGAGCACCAAAAGUGAUUUUGACAAAAUAAUCACAUUAUACAGACUUGUAAUGAAUAUGGGAGAAGUUGCCCAAUGAAACUUGAAACAAAUCUCUAGUUUUUUUAUUCAAUAAUCAUCAACCAUAGGGCCCUGUCAGUGUGCAAUGAGGCAGGUACCAGAAGAGGUCAACAAGCUGUUCUUGGAUUGAUAAUUCAUUAAAUUUUGACUGGGCCCCAAUGUUACUCAACUUGAGGGAUCAUUAUUACGUCUCUAUGCAAAUAUGUAAAUCAAUAAAGCAAAUGGAGAGUCUAUAACAGCAUCAUCCUAAACGAACUCUCCUAAUCAUUGUGAAUGCUCUGUUGAAGCAACAUCCCAUUAUUGAUAGAAUGAGAUUAAAUAUAACUAUACAAGCACAACAUUUAAUAUAUUUCUGUCGUUACUUUACGCUGCAUUUGUUCAUCACAGGAAUUGACGUAGGCAAAUGCUUAGGCCAUCAACCACCUUAGAGGUGAAAAGUACCACCGUACUUGCUAAAUGAAUACAGUGACCAAGAAAUUGAAAUUCUAAAGAUGCAUCUAAAUAGGUUGCUGCAAACACAGGUUAGCUCUUACUUCUAAUGGUUGCACCAGUCCAGUAUGCUGUUUUUCAAUUAUUUUUUUAUUUUUUAUUUUUUAUUGUUGAUAAGCCCAAAGCAAGGAUAGCUACAGAGUCCCAAAAUACAAAAUGCUACUAAGCAGGUUAAAGAAAGGUUAUUUCAAGUUCAAGGCACUUUUCCUCUGAGACAGGAGGCACUUUGAUGCCUGGGCCUUAAAUAAAUCAAUAAAAAAAAAAAAAAAAAAAUCAGUACUUACAGAAGUACAAAAUUAUACUAAUAAACAAAAACCAUAACUAUCUACAAAUUCAUAUUACAUGGUAAAAGGUUUCAACAGCAUUAAAAGUCUAAUUUGCAACUCAAAAAUUAAAAUGGUUCAUCAAAGAGUUCAAAUAAUAAAUUAAAAAAAUGUAGCAAUCACAUAACAGGAACCCUUAAUCCACAACAUAAAUUAACAAAUUGUUCAAGAGUUUUGUUUGCUUUGAUGUUAAAAAAGAAAUAAACAAGAGAAAAGUUAAGAACAAAAAGAGUAAAUAUAAAAGAAGAAAAGGAUUGAGUUACAUUCACUAGGCCUCUAGCAACCGCUGUUUACCCCGGUAAGUUGCAACUUCAGUUAGAAGGGUUUCUUGCACUUCAAUGGUACGAGGCUAUGCACGCUACGUCAACUUGUUCUGUUUUCUAUACUCUAAUUCUAUUUUUCUAGUUUGCAGGGUGAGAUGGUGUUGGAAAAAAAAAUUCCUAAAACCCUCCAAGCAUUCUAAGGCACGAAAGUAUCAACCCAAAAAAGCUAAGGAAAAAAAUGAAAAUCCCCAAAAGGGCAAGACUAGCAAAUCCACACUCAGUCGUCUCAAGGCUCAAGUCUUGACAAUGAGACUCAAAGGGUAAUCUUUGAGGUGAUUAAUAAAGGCCUCGAGGGAGGACAGCUCUACCAAGUGACUCAUUUGGUAAAAAAAAAACUCAUCGUUCCAUUGCUUAUAAACAAAAGGGCUGAUCUAAGGAAAAUAAAGCUUCGAAGUUACCAGAUUUCAUAUCCACCCUCUCCACCCUUCCAUAUCUUCUGAAAAGACGUUCAACAUCAGACUGGCGAGCAUCAAAGUCCAGGUUACCACAAAAGAUUGGCAUUGGGUUCCUGCACGAUAAUAAUCUUCAAUCUCAAAUUAAGGAUUUUUGGACGUAAACAAUCUUCAUCUAGAGAUACCUCUAAUCACAAGCAAAUAAAACUCGUGGAAUAAGAUCUCGAACUGGCACACAGAAAAAAACAAUUGGACUUUUGUUUGGGAAUAAACUCUUGGAAUCACAUCUCGCAUUCCCAAACAAAAACCAUAAAGAAACAAUACCAUUUUUCCAGAAAGACAUGACAUAUAAACAGAUGUCUCCCCUUGCUUCCAACUAUUGAUAUAAAUUCUUUUAAAAAAAAAAAAACAUAUGUGUGUGUGUGUAUUUGCUAAGGAAACAAGUUUAUCUCUUUCUUUCCUUUUUCCAGCAAUCUUUCUGAUUGUUAUGCUUCUCUUUAUUCUCCGUUGUCCAGGGAAACAUCAAAUUUAGCAUUCUAUAAAUCUCAAAUCAACAACUUAAAGGUCAGUUUUUAGACAUUCGCUCAUGUCAGUAUAUCAGUCCUCCCCCUUUUUCCAUAACUAUUCCAUGCACAGAUUUCCGUGGAUAAUGUAAAAGAAAAUAAUAUUAAUUGUCUCAACAAUAAAUUAUGAAACAGGAGUACAUCAAAUUAAAUAAAGAGAAGCUGUAACAGUUCAAAAAGAAUCUUCAGAAAACAUUGAAAACUAAAAACCAAAUAUAAUAUUAGCUAAGCUUAAAACUAACUAUAAGUAACUUUUUGUUUCGGUUUCCACAAAUAAAUUUUAUUACUGUAAAAAUAAAAAUAAAUAAAUAAAGUAACCUACUUUUAAUUUUGAUCGAUAAUAAAAAUUACUUAUUUACGCCUUUUCGCUAAAGUUACAGAAUACCUCUGUUGAGCUUGACAAAAUAAAGAGUUAAAUUCAAACCAAAAUCAGACGCAGUAGCGUGAGAGAAAUAAAUCAGAUCUGAGAAAAUAUGUGUUCAAUGCAUACAUAAAUACAUGCCCACACAUAAUUUAUUCAAACAGAUUAUAAUAGAGAGAAGAAUUUGAAAUUCUUACACUGAAGCCUUUACAGAGUGGAGUAAAACCCUAGACAGAGACAGAGUCUGAACACUUGGGCAGAAGAAACGAAAAUUUUGAAUUAGAUCAUAAAACGACAGAGUUUGGCUUCCCAUCUCAAAUUGGUUAAAAGUUGUUGAGGGUGGGCUUUAGAGAUUUGGGCUAUCCAAACCCCAGUGUGGCUUGGCUAGACAACUUACAAAAAAUAUAUUUAAAAUAUUUUGAAAGUAAAAAUUAUUUGUAAAAUUAAUUGUCACUUUUUUAAUAUGAAAGAUAAAAAAAAAAAAGAGACACAAUGUCUCAUUUUAAAAUUAAGUGUCACUUAUUUUAUUAAAAAAUUACAUACAAUGCCAAUUUAUUAAAAGGUAAUGUUUGUCACUCAAAAACGUGAAAGAAAGUGGCAAAAAUUCAAAAAAUAUAAAAAUAAAAAUAGUGACAAAUUAAAAAAGGUGACACAAAUUAAAAAAAUAAAAAAAUGACAAACACUCAAAUAAAGUGACAAACACCAAAAUGAUGAUUGCCCUUAAACAUUCACGUGGGUGAUCGCCCAGUGUAAAAUCAAUGACAUUAGUAACUUUGUUAAAAAAGAAAAGGAAAAAAAAAAAAGAGUAGUGAAAUUGCGUCAAUUUCCAUUCAGAAAAGUGAUAGUGUCACAUUUUAUUAAAAGAGUGAAAUUUUAAAAUUUGUUAUAAAAGUGAAGAAAAGAGAAGAGAACAAAGAGAAGUCAGUAGAUUUGUGUGUGUUUUAUUAAGAACCAAAGCCCUGUAUUUAUAGGGCGGAAUCAGGGAUACAAUAGUAAUUAUUUCUAUGGCUGUAGGGGUAUAAUUGUCAUUCACCUCUAAACCAUUAUAAACUUUCCGUUUACAACACUCCCCUUUGAAUGACAUAUUACAAAAUAUUUGUCUCGUUAAAAUUUUGUUUGAUAAAAAUCCAAUGAAAAAAACCAAAUGAAAGAAAAAGAGUACAGUUAAUUUUGAGUAUUAAAAAAAAAAUACUACCUCGUUAAAAUCUUGCUAGGAAAACCUAGUGGAACAAAACCUAAGUUAAGGAAAAAGAGUACAGCUACUCCCCCUGAUAUUGAUUACUGAAAAUCUUUGAAUCGAUGCAUUCCAAUCUUAUGGACUAAUUUCUUGAAUGUAGAUGUUGGCAGUGUUUUUGUGAAUAAAUCGGUCACAUUGUCACUUGAGCGAAUUUGUUGGAUAUCAAUGUCGACAUUCUUUGAAACUCGUGUGUAUGAAAGAAUUUUGGAGAAAUGUGUUCCGUCCCGUCACCUUUGAUAUAGCCUCCUCUGAGUUGUGCAAUACAAGCUGCAUUGUCUUCAUACAAAAUAGUUGGACUGUCCUUUAUUGAAAUUAAUCCGCAUGAUGCUUGGAUAUGAUGAAUCAUGUUUCUCAACCAUACACAUUCUCAGCCUGCUUCAUUGAAGAUGUUGCUAUUGAGGAUUGUUUCACAGAUUUCCAUGAUUUAGUCAUUCCUCCAUGUGUAAACAUAUAAUCUGUUUGUGAUUUAACUUUAUGUGGGUAAGAUAAAUAGCAUGCAUCUGCAUAUCCCACUAAAGCAGAUCCCGACGUUUGAAAAUAAAAUAAUCUCAAAUCAAUGGUACCCUUUAAGUAACGAAAAAUAUGUUUAACGUCAUUCCAAUGUCUUUGAGUUGGUGUAGAGCUAUAUUUUGCAAGGAGAUUUACAAAGAAAACUAUGUCAGGUCGAGUGCAAUUUGUAAAAUAAGUUAAUGCUCCAAUUGCACUAAGAUAUGGUACUUCAGGACUAAGAACAUUUUCAUCAUCUUCAAGUGGACGAAAUUGAUCUUUUUCACAUCAAGUGAUCGAACAACCAUAGGUGAUGCCAAUGGAUGUGCAUUAUCCAUGUAAAAACAUUUUAAAACUUUUUCUGUAUACGUAGAUUGGUGAACAAAUAAUCCAUCUGCGAAAUGUUCAAUCUGUAAUCGAAGACAAAAUUUGGUUUUUCCCAAAUCUUUCGUCUAAAAUUCAUUUUUCAAAUAAUCAGCAGUUUUGUUGAGCUCUUCAGGAGUUCCAAUUAAAUUUAAAUCAUCAACAUAAACUACCACAAUUGCAAAUCCACUAUUUGUUUUCUUUAUGAAAACACAUGGACAGAUAUCGUCAUUUUUAUGACCCUCAUUAAACAAAUAUUCGUUAAGGCGAUUAUACCAUAUGCGUUUGAAUUAUUUUAAUCCAUAUAAUGAUCUUUACAAUUUAAUUGAGAACAUGGUUCUCAGGCAUGUAUCGUUUGUUCCUGGCACCUUAAGUCCUUUAAAGACUUUCAUAUAUAUGUCACUAUCAAGUGAACCAUAUAAAUAUGCAGUUACUACAUCCAUAAUACAUACUAUCAAGUUUUUGUGACACAGUCAAACUAAUUAAAAAUCUAAAAGUGAUGGUGUCCAUUAUGAGAGAAUAUGUUUUUUUAUAAUCAAUUCCUGGUCUUUGUGAGAAACCUUGAGCUAUUAGUCCGACUUUGUACCUUGUAAUUUCAUUAUUUUUAUUCCUCUUUCGUACAAAAAUCCAUUUGUAUCAAACAGGAAUUACAUUUUCAAGUGUUCGAACUACAGGUCCAAACACUUUUCGUUUCUCCAAAGAAUUUAAUUUCGCCUAUAUGGCUUUUUUCUAUUUUAGCUAAUUAUUUCUAUUUUGACAAUCUUUAACCGAUUGUGGCUCAGGAUCCUCAUUUUGCAUAAUAUCAAGAGCCAUAUUAAAGAUGAAAAUAUUGUAUAUAAUAACAUUAUUUCGUUCCCAUAAUUUAUAAGAUAGUAUAUAAUUUAUUGAAAUCUCAUUAUUUUCGGAUACUUGUGGUUCUUCGGGAACUAUAUUUUCAAUAUUUGAUUGAUUAAUCUUUUCUAAUGUGAUUUCUUCCGAAGUUUUUGGUUGGUUUUUCUCAUGUCAUUUUCGUAUAAGUGUAUACCAUUAGAUUUUCGGAUUACAAGUCCAAAAAUUUCGUGUUUAUUUAGUAAAUUCAAUUUAAGAUUGUGUCUCCUUUUAUUUGGUCAAACAUUAUUUUGAUCGAUAUUUUUCGAUGUAUUUAUUUCAAUUCCUCACGAUUCACAUAUGAUACUGUCUAUCAUAGUGACAUAACUUAUUUAGAUAUAUCAAUUUUCAACAUGUUAGGUAUCUAAACUUCUUUUGGAGUUUUAUAAUUUGUUAUAUCUAAAUAUUCAUUAAGAAUAAAUGUCUUCUUAAUGAAAUCAUCUUUGCUAAUUGCUCCAUUUUCAUUUGAAGGUUUUUGUAUUUGAAUCGAACACUAUCACGCUUCAGGCGUGCCAUAAAUAUAUCAAAUAUAAUGUUAACAAAUUAUCCCCUAAGACAUCAAUUCGUAUUGGAGCAUUGAAAAUUGGUGUGUGAGAUACUGUUGAUCUCUUUGAUCAAUAAAUGUAUCUAAAUAAAUUAUCUUUCGAACUUUUGGUUCGAAUGAUAUUUAAUGAGGAUUUAGAUGACGAUGCAUUUAUAUAUUAUUUUCAACUUCUUAAUUCCUCCCCUAAUACUUAGAGAAUUGUCCAAUCAAAUUAACAAUCAUUUUUUCAGUAUUAUAAAAUAUCGUCCAUUUGAAAUAAUAGUGCAAACUACGUACUUAUUCUCAGCAUUCUUUAUUUUUCAUCUCAAUAUAUUAUGGUGUUCAAUUGUUACAUAUACUACACCAUAAAAAAUAAUUAGAUGAAAAAAUUAGGAUCUGACAAUAAGCUGAUUAUAACUGGAAGAACUGUGAUUUUAGUAUGAUGUGCAAUAGAAUUCCCUAAAUAAAAAUGGGAAAUAAAUUAUUCUCAAUAAAAUUAAUUUGAUGCAUUUAACAAACAAUAGUAUUAAACCAUUUAUCGACAUCUUAAUUAACACUUAUUAAAAUAUUGAGAUAUAUACUCACUAGCAUUAACAAGACACGGUCUUGAUUAUAUAAUCUGAAAAUUAUGCUCAUAACUUGAGCAAUAAUUUCACAAAACUUCAAGUUGCGUAUUGCAAUCAUCUAAUAUUUGUGUCAAAUCUGUUAGAUACAAAUAAUAUUUAAAUGGUUAACAUGAUGGGUGACGAGGCUCCAUAUAUUACUCUAAUUAAUUUUCAGAAAUAUAGGGAAUUCAAUCCAUAUUUUAGCUAGCGUUGUUUAAUGAUCAUAAAGAGAACAAAUAAUAUAUAGGAAUUCUUUGGAUUGAAAAAUCUUUUGAUUCUUCAUUUAAUAUCCAUUAAAAAUUUUGAACUUCACAUCAUUAUUGAUCCAGUGAUGGUCCAACUGGUCAUGCCAAAUAAUAAAAUCAAAUUGAACUUCUGGUUCAAUAUAAUAUAUAAUUCAAUUGUUUAAUUUCGAAUAAUAUGAUUAAAUAUUAUAUAAUCAUAUAUAAUUGAAGUAGUCGAACUAAUUAAUAUUCUAAUGACAUUAAUUAUAUGUUUUUCUUCAAGGAUAAACAUGAAUUUAAAGUAAUAUAUUUUUCGAAACAUAUGUGUGUGUGUGUGUGUGUAUAUAUAUAUAUAUAUAUAUAUUACUCAUUCAAAAGUAAUAUGUCAAUAUUCUUGCGCCAAAGAAACUAUUGAGCUUGGGGGUUUCACUACCCAAAAAAAAAAAAAGAAAAAAAAAGGAAAAAAAAAACCUUCUUUUCUCACAGUAACAUGACAUGCACAAAAUAUUUGAUAUUUAAGAAUCAGAAAAACAGAACAAUUAGCUCUUUCACUUCAGCUGAGGGCUUUCCCCUUUGUCAUAGGAAAAGAAACAAUUUCAAAAUAUAUCCCCAUCGCCUAGCAUAAUCUUAAGCUAAUAGAAAUGAAACCUACCUCCUAUCACAUUUAAGUAAUUGCAUAAAUGAAAAUCUCUCAGCAUUGAGCACCAAAAGUGAUUUUGACAAAAUAAUCACAUUAUACAGACUUGUAAUGAAUAUGGGAGAAGUUGCCCAAUGAAACUUGAAACAAAUCUCUAGUUUUUUUAUUCAAUAAUCAUCAACCAUAGGGCCCUGUCAGUGUGCAAUGAGGCAGGUACCAGAAGAGGUCAACAAGCUGUUCUUGGAUUGAUAAUUCAUUAAAUUUUGACUGGGCCCCAAUGUUACUCAACUUGAGGGAUCAUUAUUACGUCUCUAUGCAAAUAUGUAAAUCAAUAAAGCAAAUGGAGAGUCUAUAACAGCAUCAUCCUAAACGAACUCUCCUAAUCAUUGUGAAUGCUCUGUUGAAGCAACAUCCCAUUAUUGAUAGAAUGAGAUUAAAUAUAACUAUACAAGCACAACAUUUAAUAUAUUUCUGUCGUUACUUUACGCUGCAUUUGUUCAUCACAGGAAUUGACGUAGGCAAAUGCUUAGGCCAUCAAUGACCUUAGAGGUGAAAAGUACCACCGUACUUGCUAAAUGAAUACAGUGACCAAGAAAUUGAAAUUCUAAAGAUGCAUCUAAAUAGGUUGCUGCAAACACAGGUUAGCUCUUACUUCUAAUGGUUGCACCAGUCCAGUAUGCUGUUUUUCAAUUAUUUUUUUAUUUUUUAUUUUUUAUUGUUGAUAAGCCCAAAGCAAGGAUAGCUACAGAGUCCCAAAAUACAAAAUGCUACUAAGCAGGUUAAAGAAAGGUUAUUUCAAGUUCAAGGCACUUUUCCUCUGAGACAGGAGGCACUUUGAUGCCUGGGCCUUAAAUAAAUCAAUAAAAAAAAAAAAAAAAAAUCAGUACUUACAGAAGUACAAAAUUAUACUAAUAAACAAAAACCAUAACUAUCUACAAAUUCAUAUUACAUGGUAAAAGGUUUCAACAGCAUUAAAAGUCUAAUUUGCAACUCAAAAAUUAAAAUGGUUCAUCAAAGAGUUCAAAUAAUAAAUUAAAAAAAUGUAGCAAUCACAUAACAGGAACCCUUAAUCCACAACAUAAAUUAACAAAUUGUUCAAGAGUUUUGUUUGCUUUGAUGUUAAAAAAGAAAUAAACAAGAGAAAAGUUAAGAACAAAAAGAGUAAAUAUAAAAGAAGAAAAGGAUUGAGUUACAUUCACUAGGCCUCUAGCAACCGCUGUUUACCCCGGUAAGUUGCAACUUCAGUUAGAAGGGUUUCUUGCAC
rnacentral:lncRNA from 1 species